rnacentral:tRNA from 2 species
GUAACCUCGCAUUCCACUUCGAUCGUAUAUAUCCUCAAUAUCUAUUCGCAAUAUGCCGACGAGCUCCGGGUUCGAGUCCCGGGCAACCCG